AGCUUUGUGCAGUGGCAGUAUCAUAGCCAAUAAGAUUUAUCAAAGGCACAAUUAUUGCCAAUUGAAAACUUUUCCCAGUUUUCUUGCCUCCCAAGAUUGCUGUUUUCACUCAACUUUUGACUUUUCUGAA
rnacentral:snRNA from 1 species